rnacentral:pre_miRNA from 1 species
UUGUAGGGAGCUGUUACAUGUAGAGAUAAAUUACUCUUAAAAAAAAAAUGAUUCCUAGAUAGUUUUCCCUUCAAGUGUCUUGU